CCCCACACCCAAAAACAACAGAACAUCAUUAAUACCCCCAAAAACACUAACGUUUUUCAAACAAACCAUUUUUCCACCUAAGUAUGGGCGACAGAAAAGGAACUACGGCGCAUUAGAUAAAGUACCGCAAGGGAACGCUGAAAGAGAAAUGAAAGAACCCAGCAAAGCUACAAAAAGCAGAGAUUUUUCCUC
rnacentral:rRNA from 1 species